AUGUACAUUCUGGUCUAUGUUGAUGACAUCAUCCUUGUUAGUUCGUCUGCUGCUGCUACGGAUCGACUUGUGUCCUCUCUUGGUGUUGAGUUUGCUGUUAAGGAUCUUGGGAGCCUGCAUUAUUUUCUGGGUCUGGAGGUUCUUCCUUCUGAUGGCGGAUUGACUCUUUCUCAGAAGAAGUACUCCCAGGACCUCCUACGUCGUGCAGGUAUGUUGCAGUGCAAGCCUGCUACGACUCCCAUGUCCGUCACAGACAAACUGACCGCUCUUGCUGGUGACUUGCUAUCUCCUGAGGAUGCCACUGAGUACCGCAGCAUUGUUGGUGGGUUGCAGUACUUGCUUAUCACUCGACCAGACAUAUCGUUCGCAGUAAACCGUGUGUGCCAGUAUCUUCAUGCGUCGCGUGAUUCUCACUGGUCAGCUGUUAAGCGCAUCUUGCGCUAUGUUCGUCACACUGGUUCAUAUGGUCUUCAUCUUCAGUCGGCGCCUUCUAGACCGAUCUCUGCUUUUUCUUAUGCUGACUGGGCUGGUAGUCCUGAUGACAGGCGAUCCACGGGGGGACAUGUUGUGUUCUUUGGACCUAACUUGAUCGCCUGGCAAGCUCGCAAGCAAGCUACGGUGUCUCGGAGUAGUACUGAAGCUGAGUACAAGGCCGUUGCUAAUGCCACAGCUGAGAUCAUGUGGUGCAGUCAUUGCUUCGGGAGUUGA
rnacentral:rRNA from 1 species